rnacentral:rRNA from 1 species
UACGAAGGGGGCUAGCGUUGCUCGGAAUGACUGGGCGUAAAGGGCGCGUAGGCGGUUUGUACAGUCAGGUGUGAAAUUCCCGGGCUCAACCUGGGGGCGGCACUUGAGACGUAGGAACUGGAGUGAGGAAGAGGGUCGUGGAAUUCCCAGUGUAGAGGUGAAAUUCGUAGAUAUCGGGAGGAACACCUGCGGUGUAGACGGCUUACUGGACCGCCACUGACGCUGAGGCACGAAAGCGUGGGUAGCAAACAGG